GAGCAUCGCCUUGCCAAGGCGAGGGUCGUGGGUUCGAUUCCCAUCGUCCGCUCCA
rnacentral:tRNA from 1 species